GCAAAUUAACAAUUUAUUUAUUUUUUUGAUUUAGAAACCAAAAAUGCUAUUGCAGUUAUCAUUGGCGUCAUCAUUACAAUGAUUCUAAUAGCUGCUCUGAUCACUGGAUUUUGCAUAUGGAAGAGGAAAAACAUAGGGGAGCCAAGAAGAAUACAACUUGGAGGAUUCAGACCAUGGAGUCGAUAUAUGAAUCUGUUUGGCCAUUUUGCAACAGAUAACACUAGCAUUUCUGAGAGUCACAAUGCAGAAGAAAAUGAACAAUGUGUCCAGCCUUUAAAUGAUACUAUAUAAGUAAAUGAAUACAGAAGAAGAAUGAAGUUCCCAAGAAUUAAUCAUCUAAUUUUUCUCAUUUUCUACUACUGCUUUUUCUGGUGAGAGUUGAGUUAGCAGCAGGCAAAGCAGAUCAGCCCUGACUUCUCUGUCCCCAGCUACAUAUUCCAGUUCUUCCUGAAGAAUUCCCACCUACCUGAGUGAUAUACUCUGUCGAGUGUAUUCAUGCAUUGACAAUUUAUUUCAUUUAUUUAAUGUUAUUAAAUCGUUGGUCUUGUCCGUUAUGGGAGAUGGACGUCUGAAGUUAGUGGCCGUGUUAUUUUGUUUCUUAUUUUUUAUAAUGCCGAGGUAUCCUGUAUUUACUCAACCCGAGGGGGUUCAUUUACAAUGUAUGCAAACAUAUAUAAUGCAGAAAAAG